CCAAGAAUGCACCUUCACGCUCAAACGCAACAACAAAACACUCACCUUCGAUGCUGGAAAAUCCUCCUCGGUGGCGUUCGCGAGCGAUCAAAUUCGUGCAUUCGUCACUGAUUCGCAUUGCUCCCGUGAUGAAGAGUGAAGGAUGUUGAGUCUGGAUGCAGAAUGAAGAUCCAAAGGGCGUGCCAUGGUUGUUAAAUCGAGACGAAGGUGAUGAAGGAAAAUGACAAUUCGAAGUUUGGAUACGAAAAACCCAGGUUCUGUGCGUUGAGCUUUUUUUAUUUUUUCUGCUUCGAAGUCCUUGAAAACCCUCCCAGCUUCUUCUCCUUCACUUCUUCCCUUUGUGUUUCUGUUAAUUCUGCUCCGAAUCUUGUAUUUGUGAAAUGUAUGAAGUUAUUGAAAUUCAGUUGGAAGAAAUUAGGGGUGGUUGUUCGAAGAAGGUUGCAGGUUUUUGAGGGAGGUUCUGGUUGUAUCAGUUAGAGGUUGACGAUUCAACGGGGAAGAGGAGUUCGAAAACCGUUGGAAGGUUGAGAAGGGUCCAGAAGAUUUUGUUGUGGAGAGGGGUUGGUAGCGUUAGAAGGUUGAGAGUUUUGGUUGGAUUUUUUUGUUAAAGAAGAAUCCUUGUCAAUCGGAAGCUCUGGGAUUUCAUCUCCAUUUUGCAGGGUUAGAGGGUUGGUUGCAGAAGAUGGAUUGAUGAGUGAAGUGAGGGUGAGGUUUAAGAAGUUGUGAAGAAUGGUUGGUUGAAAGGUGAUAGGAGGUUGAUGAAAGGGGGUCCCCCUCCAAAAAACCAGUGAGCGUCCCGGAAUCCCCUUUUUUAUAACUUUUUCUUCUCUCUGUUAGGAGGCUCUCUCAGGCUGUUAGGAAGUCGUUGAGGUUUGUCAGAAAACAGUUGGAAAUUCUGUUUUUAGUUAUAUGCAGGUCGAGAAGUUGGUUGCCACUUGAAGUUGGAAAUAGAUUGUUGUGACUUCUGUUAUGAGAGUCAUUUGAAGCUUCUUCUUUUUCAAUUUUUAUCCUCCUGUUUUAUUAGUUAGAACUUAAGUGCUUAUUUGUGAAGCUGGAUUGAAUGUUAACUUACUUUUAUGCAGAAUGAAGCUUAAACAUCCCGUUAAUUAUCAGGCUGCGGUUUGAAAAAAUUGGUUAGUGAAAGUUCAACUUGUUAGUUGACUUAAAUGAAGUUAGUUUUUGAUUAGAAAUUCUGCUGGAAAGUUGUUAGAAAAUUCAGUUAUUCGGUUGAGGUUUAGAAAAUUGGUUGAAGUGGUUUAGAAUUCUGUUGGGUUUGGUAGAAGCGGUAUUUCGGUUAUCGAUCUGUUAAUUUUGUUGUGGAAGUUUUCCUCUUAUUCUGCAGGUUCUUUAUUUCUUGUUCUUCUGCUAAUUAUGUUAUGACAUAUUGAAGGGUUUUCUAACUUCUCUUCAGAUUGGACUUUUGCUAACAGGACUUGAGGCAUGACCAUGAUGCGAGUAACGUCGUAACUAUAUCAGUAUUUUGUCUAUAGCCCUUUCGGAAACUGCAAAAUAACCCUUGUUUAUUCCACAUUGACUUUCAAUGUGGUCUUUGUAGUGAUUACACCUUCUUCACAUAACCAAUUCCAGAAAGCUCGAACCGGUUCCAGAUAAGGCCACUGAUUUCGCAGAGAAAGAUCUAUUGCAAGGAAGAAUUGGAGCUUUGGGUGUAAAAGAUGUACCCCUGUUGGUGUGAAAAAAAAGGGAGAAACUGAACCUCCUGUAAAGGGUAUUUGGUGAAAACGUAAGAUUUGAACAAAAGCAUACAAGUGGCUUAUAGUUAAAGUAACAUAGGAGCAUGGUGAAGGCAAUAUCAAGAACAUGGGGGGAUCCUUGGAAAUUCAAAUUAAAAUGGGAAUUCGGUUUAGAAAUGGGUGGAAUUGUAAUGGAUUUUUGGUUGUAAUUUGAACUUGAUUGAAAUGAUUGUAAAGAAUAAGAAUGAUUGUAACUUGGUUUAUGGAAAUGGAUAGUUUGAAAGUGAAUUGGUCUAUGAUGUAGGUAGGUAUUGAAUUGGUUUAUGUAAGUUGAAAAUGGAAUGUAAUGAAAAAAAGAAAUUGAUUCAA